ACCUUGGUGGUGCAGUGGUCAGCACGCUCGUCGUAUAACCGACAGGCCCGUGGUUCAAUUCCCGGCGAAGGCG
rnacentral:tRNA from 1 species